rnacentral:lncRNA from 1 species
UUCCUCUCAUUUCUCCUCUACUUCUACUUUGGAGCUCUCUCAAUCUGAAUUGGGACUUGUCUUCUUUGUAGAAAAGAUAGCAAGGACUUGGGGUGCCGUUUGAUUCCCUGAUCACUCUAGCUUUGCUUGGUUGUUGUUCAAGACUUCUAAGCACGCUCAGCCAGCAUAUGGACACAUUGUACAUUAGUUGAUGGCAUUUGAUGAUGAUAUUGGUGUACUCUCACAUAGGAAUGGACCAGGCCUUAGCGACUUUAAAACUUGAAAGAUAACAGUUGUAUUUAUAUAAUUUGUAUCAAAAACAUUUAGUUCAAUAAUUCAAUAAAACAAAACUGUUUACUCCAUGGUUGUGAAACAAUGAUUCUGUUACAACACUCCCCGACGUUUCCGCCACGUUUUGUUGUUUUACGUGGUCGGGGUGUGACAGUUUUCCAACUUUGGUUUGUUUAUCAAGCGUUGCGUUGCGUUUAAUUGAGUUGCGAGUAAGCGUUUGAGCGUAUAAGCGUUGCGUUGAUAACCACAUAACAUUCAACAAAUAAUCACACAAAUAACACACAUAAUACAGUUAAAUCCGCGUUUCGAUUCUGCGUUGAGUUUGCAUCGUGAUAGCGUUUAGGUAACAAGCGUUUAAAUAAGCGAUGCAAAUUGCGAUAAAAUUCGUUUAGGUAAGUAGCAUUAUAAGUAGCGUUUAAAUGUGACGACUGCGAUUGAAAAAACGUAGUAAUGUGCUUUUAAAAUGCAUUAAAAAUGUAGUUUAACCCAUAGCAUUAAUCGAAUCCCAAGAGUACAAGCGUUUACAAAAGAAAUACGAUCACAGUAGGAACAACCGAAGUACGGGUUGUUACAAGAAGCACACAAAAGAUAUAAUAAGAAGAGGUUUGGUGCAAAUGAGGCACCCCAAAAACCAAACACCCAUUAAAUAACCAAAGAGUGAACAACCCACAAAAAUAAUGUUACAACUCACAAAAGCAGAGAACAAAACCGGAAGUACAACCACCUAAAGCCAAAACAUGUUGCUAAUUAACAAUACAUAAAUAUGGCAUUCAAAAAGUUUGUGUAACAAUCCUCAAGAAAACCGACACCCUCGAUUAUUUUUCCGACACCCUAAAAAUAUUUAAAAUGUCCGAAUAUGUCUUUAAAUAUACCCCAUAUGUGAAAACG